CCCUAUGAAGAACCUCUACCAUUUGC
rnacentral:piRNA from 1 species